UCUACUUAUUCAGUAUUCAGUAAUAUACUCAUUCAGAUACCUAUCAAACUACCAAAAAAACUUUUUAUAUAAUUAGAAAAAAAUUAUAGCAAGGUUCAUCUAGAAGACCAAAAGAUCAAGAAUACCAAGGGAAAUAAUGGAAAAAAAUGUGAAGUAUAGGGGUCUAGCUUUAACCGAUAUUAAAUUGUACUAUAAAGCAGUGGUCAUCAAAACCUUGUGGUACUGGCUAAGAGACAGAAGGGUAGAUCAAUGGAAUAUACUAGGGGUAAAGGACCUCAGCAAGCUAGUGUUUGAUAAACCCAAAGACCCCAGUUUUUGGGACAAGAACUCACUAUUUAACAAAAACUGCUGGGAAAAUUGGAAAGCACUUUGGCAAAAAUUAUGUUUAGACCAAUAUCUUACACCCUAUACCAAGAUAAAUUCAAAAUGAGUAAAUGACCUAAAUGCAAAGAGUGAAAUAAAAAAUAAAUUAGGUGAAUAUAGAAUAGUAUACCUGUCAGAUCUGUGGGAAUGGAAGGAAUUUAAGACCAAACAAGAUAUAGAGAACAUUGCAAAAUAUAAAAUGAAUGACUGUGAUUAUAUCAAAUUAAAAAGGUUUUGUACCAUCAAAACCAAUGUAACCAAAAUUAGAAGGAAAGCAACAAACUGAGAGAAUAUUUUUAUAACAAAACUCUCUGACAAAGGUUUAAUUUCCCAAAUAUAUAAGGGACUAAGUCAAAUUUACAAAAAAUCAAGCCAUUCCCCAAUCAACAAAUGCUCAAGGGACAUGAAUAGGCAGUUUUCACAGGAUGAAAUCUAAACUAUCAACAAACACAUGAAAAAGUAUUCUAAAUCCCUCCUGAUUAGAGAAAUCUAAAUUAAAAUACUUCUGAGAUACCACCUUACACCUAACAGACUGGCCAAUCUGACAGUAAAGGAAAGAGAUAAAUAUUGGAGGGGAUAUGACAAAAUUGGGACACUAAUACAUUGCUGAUGGAGUUGUGAAUUGAUCCAAUCAUUCUGGGGGGCAAUUUGGAACUAUGCCCAAAGGGUGCUAAAAGACUGUCUGCCCUUUGUCAGUCAUACCACUGCUGGGUUUGUACCCUAAAGAGAUAAUAAGGAAAAAGACGUUAACAAAAAUAUUCAUAGCUGUCUUCUUUUUGGUGCCAAAAAUUUGGAAAAAUAAGGAGGUGUCUAUCGAUUGGGGAAUGGCUGAAUAAAUUGUGGUAUAGAUUGGUGAUGAUAUAUUAUUGUGUUGAAAGGAAUAAAGAACUGAAGGAAUUCCAUGUGAACUGGAAAGACCUCUAGGAUUUGAUACAGAGCAUAAGGAGCAGAACCAGGAGAAUGUUGUACACAGAGACUGAUACAUUGUGGCACAAUUUAAUACUUUUUAAGUAUUAUACAUAAUGAGGCAUUCUCACAGUUAUUAGGGAAAGAAUAUAUAGAAUAGAGAAACUGAAGUUUUGAGGUGACAUAAUAGAGUGAUCUGCUGAAGAAGUUGAAAUAUCAUGUGGUUAACAGUAUAGGGAGAAGUAUUUGCCUUGCUGAGAAUAAGGAAAAGGAUGAGGGAUAAAGGAUAGGAAAAAAUGCAACUAAGAGGGAGAGAAGAGAAUCUAGUCACAAACCUUGGGAAAAGAUUCUAGAAGGCAGAGCUCUACAGAAGGGGGUUUGGGGAGUUUACUGGGGAAAACUGUCACUCCUGUAACUGCCUUUUCUUUGAGCUGGAAGGCGGAACAGCUGCUCCAUCAUAUACUGGGAAACAACUAGUUUUACUGAAAAACUAGGAAGUUCUUGGGUCUGGAGAAAUACCUGGGAGGAGAUCUGUGUUUCCCUGAAGUGCUAUGAACAUAUCUGAUGGUGAACAAUUUGACUGUGGCAAUUUAACUAAGCAAUAAAUCAUGGGAGUUCCAUCCUGAUCUACAUUCCAAGCUCCUGAAGAACAUCUAUUGCUAAGGACAAGUUUCUUUCUUGCUGUCUAAUCCCACAGACUUGUCUCCUCUUUCUUAGAUUCCUCUAAAACCUGUAUUCUACUCCUGCUCCUCAGGCUUAGUUCUAUGCCAACCUAAGUGCAUGUGUGUCUUUAUUUUCUCUCACUUAAAGGAAAUAAAUUGGUUCAGCCCACUAAA